CCCCGUCCUCGUGCCGCGCCCGCCCCUCGCCCACUCCUCCGAUCCGGAUCUAGCGCAAGCUCGGGCUCGGCCUGGGCCCAGGCUCCCGCCGCGGCGUCCCCGCAGUCGUCAGCUCGAGCUCCCGAGGUGCGUGCCGCGCGGAUCCGUGCUCCUCCCCUGGCGAUUCUUCGGGUUUUGUCGUUCUUGAGUGUUUUCCGUUUGGUUCACGCGGAAAGGAGAGGUUUUUAGGCCGUUCCUCCUGCUGAUUCCGCCGGGCGUGGUGGAUUUGAUGGAGACUGGCUCGUUUUUUAGGAGGAAAUUUGGUGGGAUUGGUGUGAAAGGGAGGCGCUUUCGACUGUUCCCGUAGUUGACUUUCGUAGGAUUUGGCCGGUAGAGAAGGAUUUUCUAGUACUCAUUUUUGGGGCAACCAUCGUCGUAUGCGGUGGAACAAAUGCUGCUCCACCGUUGUGUUGAAUAAUUUGUGCCUGUGCUCAUUUUCGUGUGCCUCCUGGGCUACAUCUGAUUUACUUCUCGUAAUGCAAAAAUCCCUGGUACCAGUUAUGCUUGGUUUGAUAUGAGCGAUAUUGCUUGUGUUUACAAACGAUGCAUAUGCAUCUGCUAUUAUUGUACUGUCUUGUCUCUUUUCUUUUUAUGUGUAGUGGUUACUAGUGCAAGUUAACAUGUACUAUGGAAUCUUUUGAUAAAAGUCCGGUAUCUGUAUUUCGUUGUACUAAAAGUUGAAACUCAUGGUGUUCUGUAGAGAGAAUGUUAGUUAUUUUCUCACAAAGUUACUCUUAAUCAAGUAUAAGUAUCAUGCUUUCUUCGCAGUACUUUGUAGUCAUUGGACGCAUCAGCAGUCAUGAAGCAUGGAAAAUUCUUAUACAAUUCUGUUUCUCAUUUUACUUAAAUGUUUCUGUGUUACCAAUAUUUGUAUGCAUGCACAGACAGCUUUGUGUUAUUAACUGCAUAUUCAUUUGGCAACCUUGAUAUUUUGUUAUCAGAUUCUUGCUUUUGCCCUUGGAAUCCAUGUCACAAAGUUGAGAACAAUUGUCCAGUAUUCCAGUAUGCACUUAUCUUUCAAAUCUAUUUGUUGUAAACUUGUAGUAAGCAAAAGUAGUAGGAUGCACAAACAUUAUCUCUUCUUAUUAGACAGACUAUUCAAUUAUUCAUGGCAUCUAGCAUUUUUCUGUUCUGUCAACUGAUCAAUCUUAGAUUAGAAGGUCACCUUUUUAUUCUUAGCUGUGUGAUCUUUCCAGCAUGUUAUGAACUAAUUGAUUGCUUAGCUUUUCUGUUUACACAUCUAGUUCCUAAGCUUUACUUUCUGUGUUUGAUUCAAUUGGUAACCUACCUUGUGAUUCUUGUGAAGACAAGACUAGCACUAGAUAAAAGCAACAAUCUGAAGUCUAAAUCACACAUUUGGCUUGCAAAAGAAAACAUUAUGCAUAUCUGCAGGCUUGUAGCAUUAUCAUGGAUGCCAUAUAUAAGUUACAGUUGUCAUGCAUAGUUGCAUACGUGUGUUAGUGUGCCCAUGUUGAUGCAACCUUGCUAGGUUUUUCUAGAAUUUCAGACCUAAUGAGAUGUAAAUUAUGAAUAUUUUUGAUCAUUCUUUUUAUUGACACUAGUAUGGCUGAGAAGGCGGUGUGGGAUAAGGAAAAUGUGAAGCAGUUCUGUGACAUAUGCAUGCGUGAGGUUAAUGCUGGGCAUAGGCCAUUAGGUCAUUUGAAUAGAGUCGGAUGGAAGAAUGUUGCAGAAAAGUUUGAACAUAAAACUGGUCGGAAACUAGAACAUUUGCAACUCAAGAAUAAAUGGGAUGCUCUCAAAAGAAGUUAUACUAUUUUAUUGGAGUUAAAAAAUGCUGCCACUGGACGUGGUUGGAAUGAUGAAAAGCAGACUGUAGAUUGUUCAGAAGAAUGGUGGAGCGAGCAUCUUGCAGAUGAUGGGAUGUCGACAGUGCAUUAUCCUCCCAAACGCACCAGUUUUUUAGCUCCUAAACUAAUUGAUUGUCUAGAUACAGGUAGCGGUGGAGUUUGAAGUGCUAAUCUCCAAAUGCAAGCAUGCUACUAUCAUCCCCAUUUUCACUGAAUUAAACACUCCUGCGAAUUUGAUUGAUCACUCCAAUAACGUGUCAUGCUAGUUCCAUAUCGUUGCUUUGGUAGUCUAUGCUCUAAGCUGAUUGCUUGUGUUUAAAGAGAAGUUCUGUCCAUUUCCAUGUUCUUGACACUAACAUUAAUCUGAGGGACUGCUCUUUUGGGAUUUCCUAUAUGGAGGCUUCUACGCUGUCUCAGACUCAGUAUUCAUCAGACUCAGUAUUCAUCUUAUAACCUUGUUUUUUUUUGAACAGUUUGUGCUGUGGUAUUAACUGUUGUCAUGGGAGUAAGAUAUGUCAAAACAAGAAAGAUAAUGCCCGCUGGAAUUAUUGCUGCUAUCAGGUUUGUUCAAAUCUCUCUCGUGUAUGGGCAUGAGCUUGUUGCACCAAGUUCUUUUAUAUGUAUUCUAAUUUCUAUAUGGUACAUGAUUUGGGCCACAUGUUAGCUCAGUAAGUAAAUUUUGUUUGUCUAUGUGGUGCACAAAUAUGUUCGGUUUGUUGUAGCCAAACUAAUGUAACCCAAUACAUAAUAAGCUAAUCCUCAGUAAAAAAAAUGAUGGCUUCUUGUGC
rnacentral:lncRNA from 1 species